rnacentral:lncRNA from 1 species
AGAAUUUGAGGUGCGUGGCAUUCCACGUCCUCGGUACAAUUUUUCCUGAAAGCCAUUCUAGAUGAUAGGCUCCUCCUUGUGCGACUUCUCGGACUCGGAAAGGCCCCUCCCAGUUGGAUGAGAACUUCCCUUCGUUUUUUCUUGCGUCGCUGCGCAUUCUCCAGACAAGAUCGCCCUUCUGGAAACCUCUAGGCCGGACUUUGGUGUUGUACCGUCUGGACGCCCGGGCUUUGCAGGCAGCCUCCCGAAUCUUGC